CUUGCAGCCAUAUCACAUUGAAACACCAGUCCUCAUAUGAUCAUUGAAGUUAAGCAACCUUCAGCCUGAUCAGGAUCUGGAUGAGUGACUACUUGAGAAUACCAGGUGCUGUAA